rnacentral:rRNA from 1 species
UCGACUACAUGAAGCUGGAAUCGCUAGUAAUCGCAGAUCAGAAUGCUGCGGUGAAUACGUUCCCGGGUCUUGUACACACCGCCCGUCACACCAUGGAGUCGGAAAUGCCCGAAGCCGGUGACCAAACCAAUAAGGAAGGAGCCGUCGAAGGCAGGUCUGAUAACUGGGGUGAAGUCGUAACAAGGUACC